GUUCAAGUAAACCGUUGCAAAAGAUUAGAAAAGGCUACGGUUAUCUUAUACCCAUUGCAAAAGAUUAGAAAAGGCAACGGUUAAAUAAAAUGCGAUUUUAAAAAAAUAAAUAAAUAAAAAAAAAUACGAAAGAAGCGUGCUGCUGGAGGCGGAAGAAAGAGAAAACCCAAAAACAAACCCUAAACUUCGAUUCCAUUACCAUACUUGCUCGCUGAGUCGCUUCCUCUUCUCUUCGUCUCUUCCUGCCUUCCUCUUCCUCAAUCCUCUUCAAUUCCAUUACCAUACUUCGACAGACGACAGUUGGAGCUUGGAGUGCUCGAUUCGACAGACGACAGAGUACAGACAGACGAAUGAAAGUUCGCUUCGAGCCUUCGACAGUUCGACGGCCGACGCUCCCUCUUCCUCUUCGCUUCGAGCUCUGCUCAGCCUUUGCUUCGACACUUCGUCAGCCGUCAGGUCUGUUUCUAUUCACCGCAUUUAUCAUCCUAAAUCUAUUAUGAUUACGAAUGUGAUUGAUAGAGCAAGGUUUUAUUGCCCAAAUGAGUUGUUUGUGCUUGAAUGCCACCAUUAAUGAUGGAAUUUUGGGUGAAAGAGAAGAUGGAGAUUUGAUGAAAAAGGUUUUGCCUAAAGUUAUGAAAUUGGUGAGUACUUUCACUUUUUUCUGCUUAUUUUGGUUUAUUUUGUGGGAUCUACAAAUUUUUUCGCUUCUUUUGGUGCAAAGAAUUCUGGGUUUUUUUAGGUUUUUUUUGGGGGUUUUUGGGGUAUUGUAUUUUUUAUGCUAGUUAUUGAUUUUUGUUGAUCUUUUAGCUAAUUUUGUGUGUUGUUUAAGUUUGAAUCAUGAAAAUUAGUUAUGUUUUUGGUCACUGAUAGUUGUUGAAAUUGAUUUGACUGCAUUUCAGUUGAGCUACUUUACUAAUUAGCUAUUUAGGGUUCCAUCAAUUUUUAAUUUUUCCCUUUUUUUUGGGUUGAGAAUCCCUAUUCCAGAUCUCUAAUUCUUCUGGGUUGUUUACAAAAUUAGGUUAGAAUCUUUCUUCUUGCUACAACAUUACAAAACUUAUCCCUUUUGUAUCCUUUUCUUACUUGUGGGUGAGCUUUUUGAUAGUUUUCCCCCUUUUUUAGGUAAAGUUUUUGUUCAUUGUAAGAACAAUUAUUGGUUAAGCUAGUUUCUCUAUAUGGUUAAUGUUGUUUGCUUCUUUAGGUCAUUAUUCUCAGAUUCUUUACUAAUUUAUCAAGUUUGUUUUCAUCGUUUGAGUUGUCUUUGUUCUUGUGUAAUGAUAUUUCCUUGAAUAAAUAUGGUGUGUUCUUAGAUAGAGUAUGUUAAAGAUGGAAAUUUCUAUUAGAGUUCGAGAGUUACAAUUGAUGCGUUUACUUGAUCAUCCCAAUGUGAUCUCCCUCAAGCAUUGUUUCUUUUCUACUACCAGUAAAGAUGAGCUGUUUAUUGCUACUGUUUGAUGUGUUCUCUGGUGUUAUUGCUACUGUUUGAUGUAAUUUGUUGGCAGCAUUGCUGCUGUUUAUUAUUUCGAUCUAUUUCAGGUCUAAUAUCUUGGUUAUCAUUGGGACAUUGUUAGGCAUUCCUGGAAAAUCAAAAGACCAUAAAUCUGCUCGUCGGGAUUUGAAAUACCUGCGAGAGGAGAAAGACCUUCGAUGGGUGCCGGAGCUUGAGGUUCAAGAAUUAGAAGAUGGAAGUGAAGAGUUUCCGACAUCAAUGCUUUGGAUGAAUGAUGAUGAAAUUGAGCCGUAAAAGAACAUAUUUAGAAUUUUAGACGUAAUGAUGUAUAGGUGAAUAUUUGGUUGCACUAGGUUAUGGAAGAAUUGAUCCUUAGUUUUUGAUAUAACAAGUUAAUCGUGUAAAUUUCUUAACUAUAAUAUUUGUAAUCAAAUUUCUAAUUACAUCUUAUGCUAUUAAUUAUUAAAAUUAUCAUU